GUCUUCGUGGCCGAAACAGAAAGGCACCUGUCUUGUAAACAGGUUCAUGUGGGCGCGAAUCCCACCGAAGGCUCCA
rnacentral:tRNA from 1 species